AUUGAACGCUGGCGGCAGGCCUAACACAUGCAAGUCGAACGAGUGGCGGACGGGUGAGUAAUGUCUGGGAAACUGCCCGAUGGAGGGGGAUAACUACUGGAAACAGUAGCUAAUACCGCAUACCAUCGGAUGUGCCCAGAUGGGAUUAGCUAGUAGGUGGGGUAACGGCUCACCUAGGCGACGAUCCCUAGCUGGUCUGAGAGGAUGACCAGCCACGCUGGAACUGAGAAACAGUGAAGACGCCUACGGGAGGCAGCAGGGGGGAAGAUGGCAGAGUGGGUGAAAGCCUGAUGCAGCGAUGGCGCGUGUAUGAAGAGGGACUUAGGGUUGUAAAGUACUUUCAGCGAGGAGGCGUUACUCGCAGAAGAAGCCCCGGCUAACGCCGUGCCAGCAGCCGCGGUAAUUC
rnacentral:rRNA from 1 species